rnacentral:misc_RNA from 1 species
UACGAAGGGGGCUAGCGUUGUUCGGAAUUACUGGGCGUAAAGCGCACGUAGGCGGACUAUUAAGUCAGGGGUGAAAUCCCGGGGCUCAACCCCGGAACUGCCCUUGAUACUGGUAGUCUGUAGUUCUGGAGAGGUGAGUGGAAUUGCGAGUGUAGAGGUGAAAUUCGUAGAUAUUCGGAGUAACACCAGUGGCGAAGGCAGCUCACUGGCCAGAUACUGACGCUGAGGUGCGAAAGUGUGGGGAGCAAACCGG